rnacentral:rRNA from 1 species
AGGCCUUCGGGUCGUAAAGCUCUGUUGUCAGGGAAGAACAAGUAUCGGAGUAACUGCCGGUACCUUGACGGUACCUGACCAGAAAGCCACGGCUAACUACGUGCCAGCAGCCGCGGUAAUACGUAGGUGGCAAGCGUUGUCCGGAAUUAUUGGGCGUAAAGCGCGCGCAGGCGGUCCUUUAAGUCUGAUGUGAAAGCCCACGGCUCAACCGUGGAGGGUCAUUGGAAACUGGGGGACUUGAGUGCAGAAGAGGAGAGCGGAAUUCCACGUGUAGCGGUGAAAUGCGUAGAGAUGUGGAGGAACACCAGUGGCGAAGGCGGCUCUCUGGUCUGUAACUGACGCUGAGGCGCGAAAGCGUGGGGAGCGAACAGGAUUAGAUACCCUGGUAGUCCACGCCGUAAACGAUGAGUGCUAAGUGUUAGAGGGUUUCCGCCCUUUAGUGCUGCAGCAAACGCAUUAAGCACUCCGCCUGGGGAGUACGGCCGCAAGGCUGAAACUCAAAGGAAUUGACGGGGGCCCGCACAAGCGGUGGAGCAUGUGGUUUAAUUCGAAGCAACGCGAAGAACCUUACCAGGUCUUGACAUCCUCUGACAACCCUAGAGAUAGGGCGUUCCCCUUCGGGGGACAGAGUGACAGGUGGUGCAUGGUUGUCGUCAGCUCGUGUCGUGAGAUGUUGGGUUAAGUCCCGCAACGAGCGCAACCCUUGAUCUUAGUUGCCAU